rnacentral:rRNA from 1 species
CGUAGGUGGCAAGCGUUAUCCGGGAAUUAUUGGGCGUAAAGCGCGCGUAGGCGGUUUUAAGUCUGAUGUGAAAGCCACGGCUCAACCGUGGAGGGUCAUUGGAAACUGGAAAACUUGAGUGCAGAAGAGGAAAGUGGAAUUCCAUGUGUAGCGGUGAAAUGCGUAGAUAUAUGGAGGAACACCAGUGGCGAAGGCGGCCGCUGGUCUGCAACUGACACUGAAGCACGAAAGCGUGGGGAGCAAAUAGGAUU